CAGCAGCCGCGGUAAUACGUAUGGGGCGAGCGUUGUCCGGAAUUAUUGGGCGUAAAGGGUACGUAGGUGGUUUUUUAAGUCAGGUGUGAAAGCGUGAGGCUUAACCUCAUUAAGCACUUGAAACUGGAAGACUUGAGUGAAGGAGAGGAAAGUGGAAUUCCUAGUGUAGCGGUGAAAUGCGUAGAUAUUAGGAGGAAUACCGGUGGCGAAGGCGACUUUCUGGACUUUUACUGACGCUCAGGUACGAAAGCGUGGGGAGCAAACAGGAUUAGAUACCCCCGUAGUCCCUGUCUCUUAUACC
rnacentral:rRNA from 1 species